rnacentral:rRNA from 1 species
GUAGCAAGGUUAACCGUAUAGGGGAGCCGCAGGGAAACCGAGUCUUAACUGGGCGUUAAGUUGCAGGGUAUAGACCCGAAACCCGGUGAUCUAGCCAUGGGCAGGUUGAAGGUUGGGUAACACUAACUGGAGGACCGAACCGACUAAUGUUGAAAAAUUAGCGGAUGACUUGUGGCUGGGGGUGAAAGGCCAAUCAAACCGGGAGAUAGCUGGUUCUCCCCGAAAGCUAUUUAGGUAGCGCCUCGUGAAUUCAUCUUCGGGGGUAGAGCACUGUUUCGGCUAGGGGGUCAUCCCGACUUACCAACCCGAUGCAAACUACGAAUACCGAAGAAUGUUAGCACGGGAGACACACGGCGGGUGCUAACGUCCGUCGUGAAGAGGGAAACAACCCAGACCGCCAGCUAAGGUCCCAAAGUCAUGGUUAAGUGGGAAACGAUGUGGGAAGGCACAGACAGCCAGGAUGUUGGCUUAGAAGCAGCCAUCAUUUAAAGAAAGCGUAAUAGCUCACUGGUCGAGUCGGCCUGCGCGGAAGAUGUAACGGGGCUAAACCAUGCACCGAAGCUGCGGCAGCGACACUAUGUGUUGUUGGGUAGGGGAGCGUUCUGUAAGCCUGCGAAGGUGACCUGUGAGGGUUGCUGGAGGUAUCAGAAGUGCGAAUGCUGACAUAAGUAACGAUAAAGCGGGUGAAAAGCCCGCUCGCCGGAAGACCAAGGGUUCCUGUCCAACGUUAAUCGGGGCAGGGUGAGUCGACCCCUAAGGCGAGGCCGAAAGGCGUAGUCGAUGGGAAACAGGUUAAUAUUCCUGUACUUGGUGUUACUGCGAAGGGGGGACGGAGAAGGCUAUGUUAGCCGGGCGACGGUUGUCCCGGUUUAAGCAUGUAGGCUGAUUGUCCAGGCAAAUCCGGAUAAUCAAGGCUGAGGUGUGAUGACGAGGCACUACGGUGCUGAAGUAACAAAUGCCCUGCUUCCAGGAAAAGCCUCUAAGCAUCAGGUAACAUCAAAUCGUACCCCAAACCGACACAGGUGGUCAGGUAGAGAAUACCAAGGCGCUUGAGAGAACUCGGGUGAAGGAACUAGGCAAAAUGGUGCCGUAACUUCGGGAGAAGGCACGCUGGUGUGUAGGUGAAGUCCCUGCGGAUGGAGCUGAGACCAGUCGAAGAUACCAGCUGGCUGCAACUGUUUAUUAAAAACACAGCACUGUGCAAACACGAAAGUGGACGUAUACGGUGUGACGCCUGCCCGGUGCCGGAAGGUUAAUUGAUGGGGUUAUCCGUAAGGAGAAGCUCUUGAUCGAAGCCCCGGUAAACGGCGGCCGUAACUAUAACGGUCCUAAGGUAGCGAAAUUCCUUGUCGGGUAAGUUCCGACCUGCACGAAUGGCGUAAUGAUG